rnacentral:rRNA from 2 species
CGGAGAAUGCUAGAAGUCUGACGGAGCACGCCGCGUGAACGAAGAAGGCCUUCGGGUCGUAAAGUUCUGUUGUUAGGGAAGAACAAGUACCAGAGUAACUGCUGGUACCUUGACGGUACCUAACCAGAAAGCCACGGCUAACUACGUGCCAGCAGCCGCGGUAAUACGUAGGUGGCAAGCGUUGUCCGGAAUUAUUGGGCGUAAAGCGCGCGCAGGUGGUUCUUUAAGUCUGAUGUGAAAGCCCACGGCUCAACCGUGGAGGGUCAUUGGAAACUGGGGAACUUGAGUGCAGAAGAGGAAAGUGGAAUUCCAAGUGUAGCGGUGAAAUGCGUAGAGAUUUGGAGGAACACCAGUGGCGAAGGCGACUUUCUGGUCUGUAACUGACACUGAGGCGCGAAAGCGUGGGGAGCAAACAGGAUUAGAUACCCUGGUAGUCCACGCCGUAAACGAUGAGUGCUAAGUGUUAGAGGGUUUCCGCCCUUUAGUGCUGCAGCUAACGCAUUAAGCACUCCGCCUGGGGAGUACGGCCGCAAGGCUGAAACUCAAAGGAAUUUGACGGA